GUUUAGGUGGGCAUCAGAGCCUGGGUUUAGUAUUGGAACCAGGAUUAGGGGGGGGAUCAGAGCCAGGGUUAGGAUCAGAACCAGGUUUAGUACCAGAACCAGGAUUAGGUGGGCAUCAGAACCAGAUUUAGGUGGGUAACAGAACCAGAGUUAGUAUCAGAACCAGGUUUAGGUAGGGAUCUGAGCCUGGGUUAGUAUCUGAACCAGGUUUGGGGGGAAUCAGAGAUCAGAGCCUGGUUUAGGUAGGGAUCAGAACCAGGUUUAGUAUCUGAACCAGGUUUAGCCUCAGAGCCAGGUUUAGGGGGGAUCAGGGCCAGGUUUAGGUGGGGAUCUGAGCCAGGCUUAGUCUCAGAACCAGGUUUAGGUAGGGAUCUGAGCCAGGUUUAGUAUCAGAACAAGGUUUAGGUGGGCAUCAAAGCCAGAUUUAGGUGGGUAACAGAACCAGGGUUAGUAUCAGAACCAGGUUUAGUACCAGAACCAGGGUUAGGUGGGCAUCAGAACCAGGUUUAGGUAGGGAUCUGAGCCUGGCUUAGUAUCAGAACCAGGUUUAGGUGGGGAUCAGAGCCAGGGUUGGUAUCAGAACCAGGUUUAGGCAGUGAUCAGAGCCAGGCUUAGUCUCAGAACCAGGUUUUGGUAGGGAUUUGAGCCUGGGUUAGUAUCAGAACCAGGUUUAGGGGGGAAUCAGAGAUCAGAGCCUGGUUUAGGUAGGGAUCAGAACCAGGUUUAGAGGGGUAUCAGAACCAGGUUUAGGGGGGAUCAGAGCCAGGUUUAGUCUCAGAGCCAGGUUUAGUCUCAGAGCCAGGUUUAGGGGGGGAUCAGAGCCAGGUUUAGUCUCAGAGCCAGGUUUAGUCUCAGAGACAGGUUUAGGUGCAGAUCAGAGCCAGGUUUAGUCUCAGAACCAGGUUUAGGGGGGAUCAGAACCAGGUUUAGUCUCAGAACCAGGUUUAGUCUCAGAGCCAGGUUUAGUCUCAGAGCCAGGUUUAGUCUCAGAGCCAGGUUUAGUCUCAGAGCCAGGUUCAGUCUCAGAGCCAGGUUUAGGGGGGAUCAGAGCCAGGUUUAGGUGCAGAUCAGAGCCAGGUUUAGUCUCAGAACCAGGUUUAGGGGGGAUCAGAGCCAGGUUUAGUCUCAGAGCCAGGUUUAGGGGGGGAUCAGAACGAGGUUUAGGGGGGGAUCAGAGCCAGGUUUAGGGGGGAUCAGAGCCAGGUUUAGUCUCAGAGCCAGGUUUAGUCUCAGAACCAGGUUUAGUCUCAGAGCCAGGUUCAGUCUCAGAGCCAGGUUCAGUCUCAGAGCCAGGUUCAGUCUCAGAGCCAGGUUUAGGUGCAGAUCAGAGCCAGGUUCAGUCUCAGAGCCAGGUUCAGUCUCAGAGCCAGGUUUAGGUGCAGAUCAGAGCCAGGUUCAGUCUCAGAGCCAGGUUUAGUCUCAGAACCAGGUUUAGUCUCAGAGCCAGGUUUAGUCUCAGAACCAGGUUUAGGGGGGAUCAGAGCCAGGUUUAGUCUCAGAACCAGGUUUAGUCUCAGAGCCAGGUUUAGUCUCAGAGCCAGGUUUAGUCUCAGAGCCAGGUUUAGUCUCAGAACCAGGUUUAGGGGGGAUCAGAGCCAGGUUUAGUCUCAGAGCCAGGUUUAGUCUCAGAGCCAGGUUCAGGUGUGGUCUCUGCAGCACCAGGAGCUGCCCUCAGUGAUCC